rnacentral:rRNA from 1 species
GCAAGGAGCUAGCACAGGUGCUGCAUGGCUGUCGUCAGCUCGUGUCGUGAGAUGUUCGGUUAAGUCCGCUAACGAGCGCAACCCUCGCUGUGUGUUACAAGUGUCACACAGGACCGCCGGUCUUAAGCCGGAGGAAGGUGGGGAUGACGUCAAGUCAGCAUGGCCUUUAUGUCCAGGGCUACACACACGCUACAAUGGUCAGCACAAUAGGUAGCCAAGCCGCGAGGUGGAGCCAAUCCUACAAAGCUGGCCUCAGUUCAGAUCGCAGGCUGCAACCCGCCUGCGUGAAGCCGGAGUUGCUAGUAACCGCAGGUCAGCUAUACUGCGGUGAAUACGUUCCCGGGGCUU